rnacentral:rRNA from 1 species
UACGAAGGGGGCGAGCGUUGUUCGGAUUUACUGGGCGUAAAGGGCGCGUAGGCGGCGCGAGAAGUCGAGUGUGAAAGCCCCGGGCUCAACCUGGGAAUUGCAUUUGUGACUGCAUAGCUAGAGUACGGUAGAGGGGGGAUGGAAUUCCACGUGUAGCAGUGAAAUGCGUAGAGAUGUGGAGGAACACCGAUGGCGAAGGCAGCCCCCCUGGGCUAACACUGACGCUCAUGCACGAAAGCGUGGGGAGCAAACAGG